CACACCGCCCGUCAAGCCACGAAAGCUGAGAGCGCCCGAAGUCGCUUGCCCAACCGCAAGGAGGCGGCGCCGAAGGCGAGCUCGGUGAUUGGGACU
rnacentral:rRNA from 1 species